rnacentral:rRNA from 1 species
CCUACUGUCGGAUGAUGAAUAAUGUUUCGGGGAGGUGGAAAGCCUCGGAAUUGAAGGUAAAUCAUGAAGGAAGCACCGGCUAACUCUGUGC